AUCUAUCUUCAUCUUCCUCUUCUUUUGCCCGAACUCUCAUUCCUCCAAACUCACUUUCUCAAUCACACUUCCAAAAUCCCUCACCGGAACACUAGAGGAAUUCAACCUAUCUAAGAAGAUCUGAGUUUCGUCCCAGUUCCAUCCGACACCGUUGAGGUUCGUUUUAGAUCCACGAGCUUCGAGCUUUGUUUAAUUUCAUGUUCAUCUAAGUAGAUAUGAGUUGCUACAGAUCGAGCUUCGAUCCAUGAGGUUCAUUUCAGAUCCACGAGGUUGUGCUUCGAUCCAUCAAUUUUUUUGAUUGUGAAGGUUAAGUUUCUUGAAUGGUAUUUGGCGAUGGUCAAAUGUCGUCCAGUUCUUACCAAGAGUGUCACUUCUGUGCUUAUUUACACAGCUGUUGAUUUGUUGUCUCAGCUAUUCAAUGAAAAAUGGCUACUAUGAAGUAAAAUAUAGCUGAAGAAGAUGGUGGAGACCGUUUGAAGAGCAAGUUUGAUGCUCCAAAUCUUAAGGAGUAUCAGUUUCUUCCAAAAUUUCAAGGUACAUGCAAUGGUUAUUAUUUCAUUGAUGUAGUUGCUCAAAGCGAGAAGUUCAAGGUGAGCUACGUUAUUCUUGUGGAGGUAGGAAUAUAGUGAGUGAGAUUUGGCUAGGAUUACUUCAUACAGGAUUGAUAGAUGUAAUCUUUUUAAUUGUUCUUAAAGGAGA